GUUGAGAAAGGAAAAAGAAAAAGGAAACGGGCCAGUAGGCCCAGUAGGGGAAUAAGAGGCCGACGGGUAGAGUAAAUAGGAGUAAAGGUGGGUCCGAGCCGCGGGCCCAGCGUAAGAAAGAGGGGGUAGGGUAAGGGUGCGUGAGAAAAGUAGGCCAGGGGUUUUUCGGGAAAAUUUAGAUUUCCUUUUGUAGAAUAAUAGAUUAAAUCCGGUUAUCACCAUUUAAAUCACAGAAAUUUCUAGGGGUGUCCAAAAUUAGUGAAACCAAUUUUGUUAGGAUUGUUUUAUUUUCCUUUAUGCAUUAAAAUUUUUAUACCCUAGGAAAAAUAAUAAAAAUUUAGGUAUUUGUUUAAUGCCUUUUCUUUAAGGUAUUUGAAUAAAUACUUAAUCUUUAUUAAAUGCAUAAAAUAUGGAAUAACAUUUUUAUAAUCACAAAUUAUUGUUAACUCAUAGGAAAUUAGGUUUCAAGACUAGAAAAUAAUUACAACGUUUUCCUAAAAAUAAAAGAAAAAGCCUAAGGUAAGGUUAGUAAAGGAAAUAUAUAUGGUGGGUUAAUCUUUUCUGGUUUUUGUGUGUUGGCUUGCAACUUUAUCAUGAUAAGUUGUAUUGUCCCUUGUUGGCUUGCAACUUUAUCAUGAAGGAAAGUUGUAUAGUCCUGUAUUCAAAAAGUUGCAUCACUAACCCCUGCAUAUGCUUUAUCAUAGACACCGAAGCACCGGAAGGGGAUUUCUCAGAAUUUUCAGAAGGAUCUCCGGAGUUUGAAGAGAUCAUUGAGUUGGUCCCCUGCGAAGCCGAUCCAACAGGUAGUGCUAACAUUUUUAUAGAACAAGGCAAGCCCCAGUGCAUUAUACCUACUUAUUUUGGUAGUAUUAUUUCAUGUGUCCAAUUAUCGAUUAUUUUCUAUAUGAAUGCACUAAGUCUAGGAGUUGAUUGAAACCCAUUCUUGUGCAUUAUCACACCUUGUUUUAAGGACAUCUUUGCUACUUGUUCAAACAUUUAGUAAGUAUCCCAAGUCUAGAAAUGCUUAGUUGCCUAAGUAAUUUGUUUACCAAACCUUAAGGUGAAAUGUUGGGUCAUACAUGCUAAGUAUGGAAAGGUAGCUUGAAGGUUAAAAGGCAGACAGAAGCUAAGGAUGUAGUUCUGUCUACUAGAUUAAUUUGGUUAAGGCCCAAUCAUUGUCUUAACCUUUGAUCAAGUGAAUGACACCUGAUUACUUACUGGGUAUGGGACCAGUAAAGCCUAGUAGGUUAGUAAACCCUCGGAUCGGGAAUACUUCGUACCCGUGCUUGACGUGCUGGAGAUUGGCAGGGGCGUAGCCUGAAACUCACAUGGAGAUCAGGCCAGACGUGGGGUCCCAUGUGGGGGUGCGUCCCUGGGUCCAGGUAGUCUUAUUCCCAAUCCUUGGAUUUGCUAAUCGAAAGGUCGUUAUGUACGACCUGGACAGUCGUGCAUGACUAAUAAUCAGGGUACUCUCCUGCAGGAUGUAAUUUGAUCCGGAUCGCCGCAAUUCUCGGUUAUGAAUGCACUUGAUCACUGUUGAGCAUCGUAGUAUAAAUUCAUGAAUGCAAUAUCUUUCCACUAAUGUUUUGGUGUAUGACUUAAUACCUUGAUGCUUACAAAUGUUUAUUUUUGUCAUCAUUUAUAAUGAUUAGGUAAUAACUUAAGUGUAAUACAAGAUAAAGCUAAGGACGAAAUUUUAGUAAGCUCUUUAGCAAAAAGGUGUGUCAGCCAGUACACCCAAAAAGCUAUCAUAUAGUUCCAGGAAAGGUUAUUAUAUUGGUUAGUCGGGUAAGCCUUGCUGAGUACCCCAUGCUUAGGGUUAUCCCUUGUGGCUGUUUUCAGAAGCACCACAGAAGUCCACCGAGGAGGAAGCCCCGAAAAACUAGGGUAUUGUUAUGAGUCUCGCAAUACCCUUAGAAGAAAUCUUUCAAUGCUCAUCUCCCACCUGAACCCGUUUAUGUUUAAUUCAUAGAACCUCUGUCUGACAUGCACUGUUAAGUUUAUUUCAAACUACAUCUUGUAAUAACUCAUACCUCUUGUAUGUAUGUAAAAAUGUAAUAUUUGUUGAUGCUUCCCAUCGUGGAAACAAUCCUGGUGUAUGGCUAUGAGACGUGACGUGGAUCAUUCGAGGAGUCCUAGGGACACUCGACGGACGACCGGGCUUAUACUGUUUUAAGUGCAUUUCAAAUAAUUGUUGUUCCAACAGCGAUUAGGCGCAUUUAAACCAGUUUAAGUUGGGCGGUUCCGCCACAGCUGGUAUCAAAGCCAUAGGUUGGGAUAAUCAACAAAUAUUACCAUUUAAAAACUGAGACUCUAUUUAAAUAAACAAAACAUGAGUCAUAGGUGGCAGUAGUAUUAACCGGUUGUUUGUUUUGCAGAUGCUAACUGUUUGCUGCGUGUCGCUAGUACUCGAUAGUAUAUUAUUAGGGAGAGAUUAUGAUGCCACCAAUUUUUCUACGAGUGUGUAUAUGAGUCUGUGAGUACGUAGGAGUCAUUGCAUCAUGUUGCAUAAGCAUGUUUUAAAAACUUUUGGGUUUGGUGAAUGCCGUUAGACCUAACCUCGUUUCUUUUAUAGGAUGUUCCAAGAAGGAUACACAGAUCAAGACGGAUGGACCUGAGGACAUUACCUGAACAAGCCAGGGUUUGUGCAGCUGUUAUGGAAGACGUUGCAGGAGUUAGGCUUCCAUAACCCUCCAGAGUAUUAUUGGAGGAAGGAGGAUACCUAUCAUAAGCAGUGUUGUACUGUUUAUGUCCAUAUCCUAGAUGAAGACACAAACCCCAAUUGGUGUCUUGAUGAAGUUAUGGAGUCGGGCUUUGAGUUUAAUGAUACAAUUGAAAGGGCAACUAUGACCGCUCUCACAGAUCUAUGCGAGAAACAUAAAGUAGAAAUAGGGUCGAGCUCUGCUCGAUUCUAUCCUAUAAAGCAUCAAGAUGAUGGAAUUUGGAAGAGGAGGAUCAAAGCCUUGAAGAAUUCUUCUCGCGUGGAGCAUGACAUUUUGGUUGCUGCUGCCUCCGACUAUAUGACCACCAUGUACAACCUGCAUCAGUCCUGCAUCAGGGAAUAUUAUAAUCAGAGAAAGAGAAAUGAGGAUGUCAAGAUGGAGGUAAUGGGUGCCAGGCACGAUAAAGAAUUGUACAAGAAAGCGGCACUAGCAAGGGAACAUGACAUGGAGAAGAUCAUGAGAGAACAGUCCAGGAGGAUAGAUGAAUAUGAAGAGAAGCUCAGGGCAAUGAAGGAAUUCAUGGAUGCCAAUAGGAAUACGACAGAUAGGGCAAAAGAAGAGGCUGAAUCCAAUGUUAACAGGCUUGAGGCAGAGAGAUUUCAGCAGCUGGAUGAAAUCUUAUCUCUUCGUCUGGCUCUAGAAGAAAUGCAGGCUCAGGUACCUACCCAGAACAUAGUAAACGUUCCACCACCUCCACCACCAGAAGAACCACAGCCGCCGAUCCCAGAAGAAGCAGAUCAGUUGGUGGACGUUGUAGGUGUGGAGGGUGAUAUGGCUCCACCUGCAGCUCCCGAGAUCGACUUGUAUGCCCAUGAAAAUUUAGAAGGUUUUGAUGUUGAUAUGGAAGAUGAUCUGGGUGAAGCUCCAAUGGAAAACCAUCACUUCGCCUGGGCCGAUGCAAAUGCCGAUGGGUUAGAUCCACAAGGAUAUGGACCUAUGCAACAGUGGGGUGAAGCCGAGCAGGAAGGCGGGGAAGAAGAAGAAGAUCCAGAUGAAAUGGAGGGAAGUUCUGGUGUCAGCACCUCUGCAUCAUAUACCUCCUACACUUCAAGUGACCUCGUACCAGAGUCGAAAAGUGAGAAUUCACUAAAUUAGCCCCCACCUGUCGCUCCUCCGGGACAGAAACUGAUGACGGUGGAUCAGGACGUUCUGCAAGCUACGAUGGCCCGGCUAGGAAUAAAUGCUGAAGAGUUAGGCAUCUAUCCCUAUGAUGGCUAAAGCAAGAUCAUGAACAAGAAGUGUUAUGGUGUAUUUAUGUAAGAUAAAUGCAGUGGGACGGAGUAGUGUGGUGUUUUUGUAAAAAAAUCAAACUCCGGGUCAUGUAAUAUAAAUAAUCAUGUAUAUAAGUGUGGUUUGUGUGUAUUUACAAUAGUUAUGUUGUGAUGUGUGGAAUACAAGCAUACUCAUGGAACUGUUGGCAAACUAUGGCUUAGAUAUUAAUACUCUGUUUGAUUUUGACAGCAUGACGGAUCCGAUAGGUCCUCGAGCUUCGGGGUUAGGGGGCCACAAGGAAAACUUACCGAGAGCCCCAACGUUGGCUGAUGCCAUAGCUAGCCUCAUGAAUUCAGGAGCUGAACAGGCUCGACUGCUUUAGAUGAUUGUGCAAAACACUGGAAAUGGUGGAAACUGACGGGACCCAGAACGUGGUGUAUCUUACACCUAGUUUUUGGAAACUCGUCCUCCGAUAUUCCUGAAAGCUGAGCACCCACUAGAGGCUAAUAUAUGGCUUCAGACGAUGGAGCAGAAAUUUCAGGUGAUUCCCCAAUGCACCACCACCCAGAAGGCAGAGUUUGCCAGACUCCAACUCCAGGGUCCCGCCAGGACCUGGUGGACCAGCUAUUUGGCAAGGCAACCUGUCGGAAGGGAGGUUACUUGGGAAAACUUUAAGGAAGCCUUCCGAACGCAGUUUGUACCAGAAGGGAUUAUGCGAAUGAAGCUGGAACAAUUUCUAGGGCUGCAGCAAGGGACUCGUAGUAUCCUGGAUUACACCAAUGAGUUUGAUCACUUGGCCCAGUAUGCACCGGAACAUGUUAACACGGAGUCCAGAAAGAGGGACUGCUACCUUCGCAGGCUCAAUGCACGGAUGCAGGAGAAGUUGUCUACCUGCACCUUUGCUGAUUAUAGUUCUGCGGUAAGUACAGCUAUUACUGCAGAAGAGAAAAUGAGAAUUUUAGAUGAAACUUUGAAGAAAGAAGAAUCUUUGAAGAGAAAGAAUAUUUCUUUUGGAACCUUCGGGAAUGCCCCGCAGAGGAUGAAGGUAGUAUACCGAGGUCCUCCUCGACCCGCGUAUCGGCCUUCUUUUUAGCAGAGGCCAUUUCAGCCCUGGAAUAUCAAAAAUCCUACCAAUACUCCUCGUCCUGGAAAUGCGACACCUCUUGGGUAUCGCAGCCAUACUCCUCAAGGGAAUCCACAUGUUUGUUUUAACUGUGGAAAGCCGGGACACUUUGCCCGGGACUGCCGUUUUCCCAAAACUGGGGGAAAUGCAAAUUUGAGGGCUCAAACCUCUGGUCAGGGCACCGAACAAAAGUUUGUUCGCCGCAAAUUUCUGAAUACCAAGACAGGGCAGGCUCACUAUAUGAAUGUGGAGGAGAUCCCAGAAGGUGAACCUAUUUUGGCAGGUACGUACUUUGUCAAUGAUUAUCCUACCAUAAUUCUAUUUGAUUCGGGUGCAUCGCAUACUUUUAUAAGUAGAGAGUUUGUUAAGCAACAUCACCUAGAAGUGCACACCUUAAAUGUCAAAUAUGCUAUUCAAGCUACUGGAGCUACUCAGAAUACAAAUCAGGUAGCUCGCAAUGUGAUUUUGAAUUUAGAAGGAAAUAAGGUGGGUGCUUAUCCUUUAAUUUUGGAAGAUCAAGGAAUAGAUAUUAUUUUGGGGGUAAAUUGGAUGAAGGAACAUAAAGUUCAAAUUGAUAUGGAUAACCGGGUCGUUAGUAUGAAAGAUGACCAAGGCCAUCCUUUUGAGCUCCAAUUACCCGCUCAUCCUUGUCUAGACCAGAUGGUCAAAAAGACUAGAGCAGUGGCUCUAGAAUCUAUUCCCGUGGUUAAUGAGUUUGUAGAUGUGUUUCCAGAAGAUCUCCCUGGACUACCGCCUGAUAGAGCGGUAGAAUUUACUAUUGAGUUAGAACCUGGCACUGCUCCUAUCUCAAGAAGACCAUAUCGAAUGCCACCUAAGGAGGUAGCAGAAUUAAAAGUCCAACUCCAAGAUAUGCUAGAUAAAGGUUUUGUCCGACCUAGCACUUCACCAUGGGGCUGCCCUGCACUAUUUGUUAAAAAGAAAGAUGGCACAUUGAGGUUGUGUGUGGAUUACCGCCCUUUGAAUGCGGUAACCAUUAAGAACAAGUAUCCGUUGCCACGGAUUGACUUAUUAUUCGACCAACUAGCUGGAGCCAAGGUCUUUUCAAAAAUCGACCUUCGGUCAGGAUAUCAUCAGAUUAAGAUAAAGCCCGAAGACAUACCUAAAACAGCCUUCUCAACCCGAUACGGAUUAUAUGAGUACCUGGUUAUGUCUUUCGGACUGACAAAUGCCCCAGUGCAUUUUAUGUACCUCAUGAAUUCGGUAUUCAUGCCAGAAUUAGAUAAAUUUGUGGUCGUCUUUAUAGAUGAUAUCCUAGUCUUUUCUAAAAAUGAAGAGGAACAUGCGCAACACCUGCGUAUUGUUCUAAGUAGACUCCGGGAACACCAAUUAUAUGCCAAGUUCAGUAAAUGUGAAUUCUGGUUAAAGAAAGUUCCAUUCCUUGGGCACGUUUUGUCUGAAAAAGGGAUUGAAGUAGACCCCGAAAAAGUCAAGGACAUAUUGGAUUGGAAACCACCAACCUCUGUUCAUGAAGUGAGGAGUUUCUUGGGAAUGGCCGGGUAUUACCGUAGGUUUAUUCCUAACUUCUCGAAAAUUUCCAAGCCAAUCACGGAGUUGUUAAAGAAAGAAGUGAAAUUUGGGUGGAACCCCGGAUCUGAAGAAUCAUUUCAGACAUUAAAGAAGCUACUAACUACAACACCAGUACUAGCUCAGCCUGAUUUAGAGAAGCCCUUUGAUGUAUACUGUGACGCCUCAGGGACAGGGAUAGGAUGUGUUCUUAUGCAAGAAGGCAGAGUUAUUGCUUAUGCUUCUCGUCAACUGAAGUGUCAUGAAGAGCAUUACCCUACCCAUGAUUUAGAGCUUGCUGCUGUAGUCCAUGCAUUAAAGAUAUGGCGGCACUAUCUCUUAGGUAGUGAAUGUCGUAUAUUUACUAACCAUAAUAGCUUAAAGUAUAUUUUCACUCAAAUGGACUUGAACAUGAGGCAGAGGUGGUGGCUGGAGCUAAUUAAAGAUUAUAAGCUAGAAAUCCACUACCAUCCUGGUAAGGCCAAUGUGGUGGCUGAUGCUUUGAGCAGAAAGGCCCAAUGCCAUUGUACUACUAUUCAGUCUAACCUUAAGACCCUGUGUGAAGAAUUAGAAGAUUUAAGCUUGGAAAUAGUAAAACAAGGUGCCCUCCAGAACAUUAUUGUGCAAGACACCCUAAAAGGAAGAAUCAUAACAGCCCAAAAAGAAGAUCCUUGGAUCAAGGUACUUUAUCAGCAGAAAGCAGAAGGAAAGAUUUCUGAACUCACUCAAGAACAGGAUGGGGGACUAUAUUUCAAGAAAAGGAUAGUAGUUCCUAAGGAUGAAAGCCUAAGAAAGUUGAUCUUGGACGAAGCACACUUGUCUGAGUUCGCCAUUCAUCCCAGAAGCAACAAAAUGUACCAAGAUUUAAAGCAGAGAUUCUGGUGGGCCAGGAUGAAACCUGAAAUUGCAAGGUAUGUAGCCGAAUGCGACACCUGCCGGAGAGUUAAACCAAUCCUAAAAAGUCAGCGGGUUUGCUUCAGCCUUCGGAAAUCCCUGUCUGGAAAUGGGAAGAUAUUUCCAUGGACUUUAUAGUUGGACUACCUACUACUUCAAAAGGGUAUGAUUCCAUAUGGGUUAUUGUCGACCGACUUACUAAGUCAGCCCAUUUCAUCCCCGUCAAGACUACAUAUCCAGUGUCAACAUAUGCAAAGAUCUAUAUAGCUCGGAUAGUGUCUCUGCACGGAGUACCAAAGACAAUUACCUCAGAUCGAGGCUCCCAGUUUGUUUCCAGAUUUUGGGAACAACUGCAAAAAGACAUGGGAACUACUCUAAUCAAAAGCUCGGCCUAUCAUCCUCAAACAAGGGGACAGACAGAGAGAGUUAACCAAAUCUUGGAAGACAUGUUACGAGCUUGUUACCUUCUCUAAGCUAUGGGACGAAUGCUUGCCCCUAGCCGAGUUCUCCUAUAAUAAUAGCUAUCAAGCUAGUAUUAAAAUGGCACCUUUCGAAGCCUUGUAUGGUCGAAGAUGCCGAACCCCCUUGAAUUGGUCGAAAGCAGGAGAAAGGACACAUUUGGGAUCAGAUUUGGUUAUGGAAACCGAAGAAAAGGUCCGGAAGAUUCGUAAACAUUUAGAAAUAGCCUAGUCUCAACAAAAGAGUUAUUCAGACAAAAGGAGACGGUCUUUAGAAUUUCAUGUCGGAGACUUUGUGUACCUGAAGGUAUCUCCGAUGAAAAAAGUACAACGUUUUGGAGUAAAAGGUAAACUAGCCCCAAGGUAUAUUGGUCCUUAUGAGGUUCUGGAACGAAAAGGUCCGGUAGCAUACAAGCUUUCAUUACCAGACCAGCUUGCUUCUAUACAUGAUGUAUUUCAUAUAUCCCAGCUUAAGAAGUGUUUAAGAGUUCCAGAAGAAAUUCUAGAAGAUCCAGAAAUUGAGCUCGAGCCAGACCUGACUUACGAGGAAAGGCCUAUUAAAAUUCUGGAUCAAAAGACAAGAGAUACCCGAACUCGGAGUAUUACGUUUUACAAGGUACAAUGGAAGAAUCAUACUCCAGAUGAAGCUACUUGGAAGGUAGUUGAAGACCUAGAGUCCAAAUACCCUGAGCUAUUUGAAACUGUCAAGAUCAGAUGAACAAAAGCCACCACCCCACUUUCUUUAUACAGAAAAGAGAGAGAUAUUGUGUCUGAGGUAGUUUCCUUUCCAUUCUCAAAGUAAAGAAUUUAACCCCUGGAAUCUCGGGACGAGAUUCUGUUAAGGGGGAGAGGCUGUAACACCUGGUAUUUAGCCAUCAAAAGUAAUUCAGAAGAAUUAAAGGCAAAUUAUGAAGAAAAAAGACAAGAAAUUGGCUAAAAGUCAAAAUCGAGUCAAAUUUGACCAAAAUUUGAAUUUUGAAUUCGAAAUUCCAAAAAAUUGGGCAAAAAUAUGGAAUGGAAGGAUAAGAGUGUUUAGAACUUGGUGAUCAAGAUUGUAGACAAAAAAAAAACCUGGUCCUAAACAUCUCAAGAAAGCCAAAGGAAAAAUCAAAAUAGAAGUGUACUGUUCACCAUCAGAAAAUAGGAUUUCAGAAAAACAGCACAAGUGUCCAUUUUGGAAAUUGUUUUCUGCCAAAAUUUUCAAAUAAGUGGACCAAAGCAACUACAUAGCAAUGAAGUAUGAACAUUGGACAAGUAUAUUCGGGUGUUGUUGAUCAGGAACGGUAAAGGGAUCAAAUUCAAAUUUUAGCUCAAAGUCAGCACUUUGCCACGGUAGACUGAACUGCUGAAACUGUCUAAGUCUGAAACAGCAAUAAGUAGCUAAGUUUGGAGCAAAUUUUAGAAGAAUGUAGAGUAAGAGGUAUAAGUGUUUAUGAGCAAAAUGGAAUCUUUGAAAGUUGUAGAACACAAGUGGGAAGUAGUUGGACUAAAAGGAAUGAGUUUGGGCCACUGAAAUUAAAUCAACAGAAGUGAAAAUGACCAUGUUGAAGGUCUGAUGAACUGAAUGAGGUGUUCAAAGGGGGAUUCAGUUAACUGAGGGAAAGAAUUCGAAAAUUUCCAACAAUUGGAUGUUUAUCUCGGGUAGGAGUUUAAAUAUGAAUUAAAGAGCUCAAGUUUAUCUCCAACUUUGCUUAAAGGGCUCUUGGACCCUUGGAUGCAAAAUCGACCGUAGCUACACUCUGAACUUCGGGUGUCACAGAAACAAAGAGGGGGGGGGGGGCGACAGAGCAGAGCACGACGUGUCACCCCCGGCGCUCCUGCCACGCUGUCCAGCUCGACAUCUAGGCCACCUCCGCGCCACGCGAGUCUAUAGCUAGGCCACGGUGUCGACCAUGCGCACGGUGAAACUUCAUAUAUCUACCGCUCCCGCCGUCAUGUUACCGUCUGCCUUUUUUACCACUGCCACCCUCUCUGUCAAGCCACUGCCGCCGACCAAAAAUUCCACUGCCACAACUCAUCUCCCGUCAAUUCCUCUCGCCUACUCCUCCGCAGAUACCUCACCUACAGCCCGGCUAACUUGUUGUCCAACCUCUCCGCCGGGGUGCGCGUAAGCGUCGCCGUUCUCGUCCGCCACCGCCGCACCUCCUGCUCACGGUGAGCACCUCCUUGCCGUCGUUCUCUUUCCUUGUGGACAGUCGUAGGUGAGUCCUUGGGGUACUAGGAAGCUGUAGGGGUAGUCGACAAUGUAGGCCGCACCGUCAUCGUGCUUAGUCACGGCCGGCCGUUAGCGCCGCCGCCGUGGAGAGGAUGUCUCCGGCCACCUCCCAGGGAGCUACCGCCGCGCACAGGUACGCUAGGGCAUGGGGAUGCUUCCCCAGCCCGGCCUCAUCACCGGUGGGGCGCCGGCCGGCGAGCCGCGCCGCCCCCUGCCGUGCUCAGGUUUUGGCGCGAGAUAGAAGAAGGCUCUGGUGUUAGCAAGCCCGCACGUCAGGGAAGAAAGGGAGGAAGGAGGCCGGCCGGGCGAAGCCGUCGGAUGGGCCGGAGUUCCGUAGGCCCAGAAGCCGUUGUGAGGUCAUCGGGCGUCUUGGAAGGCCGGGGGCCCGUGAGGUCCGGCAGGCUGGUAGGCCAAUGAGGCGGGCCGGAAGCUACGCGAAAGGAGGAAAAGGGAGCAAUGGGCCGUUGGGCCGGUGCCGGGUUGAGAAAGGAAAAAGGAAAAGGAAACGGCCCAGUAGGGGAAUAAGAGGCCGGCAGGUAGAGUAAAUAGGACUAAAGGUGGGUCCGAGCCGCGGGCCCAGCGUAAGAAAGAGGGGGUAGGGUAAGGGUGCGUGAGAAAAGUAGGCCGGGGGUUUUCCGGAAAAAUUUAGAUUUCUUUUUGUAGAAUAGUAGAUUAAAUCCGGUUAUCACCAUUUAAAUCAUAGAAAUUUCUAGGGGUGUCCAAAAUUAGUGAAACCAAUUUUGUUAGGAUUGUUUUAUUUUCCUUUAUGCAUUAAAAUUUUUAUACCCUAGGAAAAAUAAUAAAAAUUUAGGUAUUGUUUUAAUGCCUUUUCUUUAAGGUAUUUGAAUAAAUACUUAAUCUUUAUUAAAUGCAUAAAAUAUGGAAUAACAUUUUCAUAAUCACAAAUUAUUGUUAACUCAUAUGAAAUUAGGUUUCAAGACUAGAAAAUAAUUACAACGUUUUCCUAAAAAUAAAAGAAAAAGCCUAAGACCCUCCUUUUUUAAUGCUUAUGGGGAUGUUUUC
rnacentral:lncRNA from 1 species